rnacentral:rRNA from 1 species
CCUACGGGCGGCAGCAGUGGGGAAUAUUGGACAAUGGGCGAAAGCCUGAUCCAGCCAUGCCGCGUGUGUGAAGAAGGCCUUCGGGUUGUAAAGCACUUUCAGUGGGGAAGAAAGCCUUGGGGCUAAUACCCUCGAGGAAGGACAUCACCCACAGAAGAAGCACCGGCUAACUCCGUGCCAGCAGCCGCGGUAAUACGGAGGGUGCGAGCGUUAAUCGGAAUUACUGGGCGUAAAGCGCGCGUAGGCGGUCUGAUAAGCCGGUUGUGAAAGCCCCGGGCUCAACCUGGGAACGGCAUCCGGAACGGUCAGGCUAGAGUGCAGGAGAGGAAGGUAGAAUUCCCGGUGUAGCGGUGAAAUGCGUAGAGAUCGGGAGGAAUACCAGUGGCGAAGGCGGCCUUCUGGACUGACACUGACGCUGAGGUGCGAAAGCGUGGGUAGCAAACAGGAUUAGAUACCCGGGUAGUC